UUUUGCUGUGUGAUAUUGUUUAUAUGUACUUUUCUAUGUUCUUGUAUAGCUUUUUUUUUUUUCUCUCUCUCCAUAGAUUUUUGUGGUUUAGUGGUUUUAUUAUGUGUGGUUAUGAUUCUACUACUACUACUACUACUACUUUUUAUUAUCUGAUUGUAUUAAUGGCUAUGAUUCUUAACAACAACGACAACAAUUAUAAUAAUGAAAUAAUAGUAAUAAUAAUAAUAGCAGCAACAAUAAUAAUACACCGACCCCACAUUGAUCGCAUUAUUCAUGGAAGGUAAUGCAGUGUCAGAAGAGAAGCGUGGUUGAGAGAAGGAGAGGCGACUUAAAUUUGCGUCUUAACUCAUCGUGACUUUCAUUCCUGCCACAAUGGAUAGCUGGGUGGGUUGGUCAGAGGCGCGCAAGUACAGUGGGGAACCUCAUGGCCACCUGCUCCACCUUGCUGGCUUGCCUUGGAGAUGUGGGCAUGUGUGAAGAGAAUCGAAGAGACAAGACAUGUUGAUUACUAGUUGAGGGGGAGACGUAACCCGAGAUGAUCCCCUUCCCUUUCGGUGUUCACAAAAGAAGACCACGAGAGCGACGCCCAGGCCUGUCCCGAAGAGGAGAAAGGCGCCUUGUAGAUGUGCCAGACCGAGGGGCUGUGGCCUGGACCCUGAGUCGUCCUGUGAUUCAAGCACAUCACUCCCUGCACCACAUCUUUCUGAAUGCAGUGCCAUAACACCACUCACCCCAUCCAUCCCUGAAGUGGGCGGCAGUGCCUGGGUCACCACCUCCUUAAAUGACUGUGGCUGUGCAGGGUACUGUGGGAGAACACCGCUGCCACCACCACCACCACCAGAAAUUGCUGGGCUGUAGGUAGUCUGGCCCUUCUCACCUUGGCUGGCCUCUUCAGGACCCACCAGGCCUCCAUCAAGGAAGGAGAGCUGCUUGAGGAAGGAGGACGAGUGGUUGUUCCAUCGCAGUGACAACAGACCGUCCACUGCCAUCACUGCUUCCCUGCCACCACAACACUCACUAACACUGCCAGCUGGAAAGUAUCACUGCAUC